UCUUGAACUCCUGGGCUCAAGUCUUUUCUUUAUUUAAUCAAUCACUUAUUUAUAUCAGUAUAGACUCAUGGAUAUUAAUUUUAUACUUUGAAUUAUAAUCAAUACUACUUUAUUUAUUUUUGUUGCUCAUAUUGUUCCAGGUUUGGCCAUUGAGAGCUUUUUCAGUUGGCUCCUUUGUCCCUUUGAUGUAUUCCCAUCAAUGUGGGGUGUAUUUUUUUUGUUGUGUUUUUGAGUGCCUCUUACUUUUUGGCACUUCUUGAUGAUCCAGGUUUAUCUUGUAUAUUUCCUGCCCUAGUCCUAGAAUCAGCCAUUUCUUCAAGGAGUCCUGGUUUUCUUUAUUAGAGAGUAGUGUUGGAAACCAAAAUCUGAAUGGUAGGUGGCCUCUCUGCUUUGACUUUUUCCCCUGUAGUUCAUUCUCCACAUAACAGGGUGAAGAUUUAAGUACAUUUAAAUUAUAUUGCAACCUGUGAUGGGUUAUCCUUAUAUCUUUCAAAAUCACAACUCCUUACAAUGGUGUUUAAAGUUGUGGUCUACCCUUACCUGCUUCUAUGAUUUUAUCUCUUAGCAUUCUCUGUCUCAUUCAUUCCUUCCUGGAUGCAUUGGCCUCCCGUCACCCUGCCUUUUUUCUUUCUUCUUCCCCCUCCCCUCUUCCUAAUUUUAACCCCCAAAUUAUUAACUAAUGAUUUUUAAUGUAGUAUUGUCUAAAUAGUAUUACCUUCCUUACUAAAAGGAAUAAUGUAAUGAUCAAUUUUAUAACUUAUAGUUACCAUUAUAUAUAAUAAGUUAUAUAACAAUGGUGCGUUUAGGCCCUAAUGAGCUACAUAGGACUCUCUUUGCCUUCUAAAUAAUUCUAGAGAGUUCUGUAAAGUGAAAAGCAUGCUCCUCCUUUAUCUUCUCAUCCACAUUUAUGUCCUCAGAGGCUAUUGAAGUGUCCAAAGUGCUAGUCAACUCUGUAUUGCUCUUGUCUGAGAUUUUUACAGCUUUAAACUUUUAGAGUCUGUCAGUAAUUGUGUCUAGAACUAGCCCGCUAGCCAUAACUUCUAUUAUUCUAUUCCUGAUUACAACCUAAGGCAGAAAUGAAAAUUUCCAGGGAAUAUAAGAAAAUAAAUAUUAUGUAUAAAACUGGUAGAGUAAAUUUUACUAACCCCUAAUCUGCUUCAUCCCCCAGAGAACACAUGGCAAGUGUGUACACAACACCAAUCUUGAAAGACAAGACCAAGAAACAAAUGCAUAAGCAAAUAAAUGCAUUGGAAAUUGUCACAAAGUGAUAUGAAGAGACAAAGAUCCCAUUGAUUAGAAUCUUCUGGUAUGCUACUGGUGGUCUCCAGUAAUUUGCAGAAGCAGCUGCCCAAUGGCCAAAAUUCAGGAAUGGCUACUUCAGCUCCUGGAAUUACAUUCACAUUCCAGCCAGUGGCAAGAAACAGAAAGAAGGGAAGGGUACAUUCCUUCCCUAUAAGGGAAUAACUCAGAUGUUAUCACCUCACUUUUGCUUGUAUCCUUUUGGCAAGAACUUAGUCAUAUGGGUACAACUAGCAACAAGGCAGUUGGGAAAUAAUGUGGAAAUAUGUCUGUGUGCCCACUUAAAACUCAGAGAUUUUCUAAAAUUAAAAGGGGGAGGAUGAAUAUUGGAAGGCAGUAACAUUCUGUGCUAUAAUCACCAUCUUUUGGCAGUUGCCAAAAGAAACGGUUGAAUAGUUUUGAACUUAGAUGUGAGUAUAUAAUUUGGGGUAAAAUGGGUGUCUGUGGAGACACAAUUAUAUUUAUGCAUGUUAUACCCUAUUUUAUGCAAUUUUGUAUCCCUACCAUCUAGCAUAGUAUACUACUAAAAAUAAACACGUAAAAAUAUGUUUGGAAUGAA